ACCCAGUAAGAACUAAAAUAUCAAGUUCACCAACAAUGUGUCGAUUGGAGGUCUUCUCUCCUCUGCGUGUCCCCCGUCGAAUCUGAUCCCCUUCAUUUUGUUGACGGAAUAACUCAUAUUAAUGAUGGCGUGCAAUCAAUUAACCCCACUAUCUGUUCUUCAAUGCCGAUUUUUCACCUCCCAUAUCAACGGAUGCUACAUAUAUAUCUGUCAUCAAGGUGCUCACAAAUCUUCUUCAAAUAAUACUAUCGUUAAAACCUCAGAAGAAUAACUUACCGGAACGGCAAUAACUCAACUCCAAUUUUACGAUCUGGAGCCCGGACGUUGCAAGGAUGCAGUUGUUACACAUCUUCUGGUUUUGGGAUGCUUGAAAUGUAAAGAAAGGACGAGAGUUCACGUCUUCCUCGAUGAGAAGCUAUAUUUAAAGGAUUCUCAGUUCAGCGAAGUGGACAGAGCAGAGUAUCAGUUCAGAAUGACAGCUACUGUACUCGACAAUGGAACUCAGGUUACUGAUCUAUUUCAAUUUCAAGAAACUCAUCCUAAAGAAAUAAAUGCUUAAGUUUCUUCGACUUCAGCUGUCAUGCUCAAUACGUUUUCUUAAGCUGGAUGGUUAUGUUCGGCCUCCUCCCCUCUAUUUUCCCAACCAGUAGGGUAACAGUAAAUGACUGAUGCUUGGAAGUUAAGUAAUUGCAAGAGCUUGAGCUGAAAAGUGAAAGUCUGGCCAACUAACUUCUGUAGGCAUUGUGGGAGAGCUGUAUGCAAGGGAACUUCUACACCUGUGUCCAGAAUCUUUUACGGCAACCAACGUCCACCUGUUCAGCGUUUUGUAGACCAGGUUGUGUUGUAUCUGGAUUAAAAAUUAAAAUGCUCAAAUAAGUCCAACUCUAACCUUCAUAAGUCCACACUCACAGGGAGGUGAUGAUCACCAGGAAAAAUAAAUGAUGGCCACUGCCACAACACUCGAAAAAAUUUGUAUAAGGACGUAAACUAAAGGCUCACCAAUAUAAACACUCAGACGAAAAAGUGAUAGCAAAAGCAACGAUUAGUAAAACGGAAACAUGGCAAAAUACAUCCACCUCAUGGACAUCAACAAAGGCAACCAUUAUCACAACAUAUCGAGCAAUUAUGACAAUUACCACUCAUACUGAUCUGCGAUGAAUAUAUAAACGGUACGACAGAACACCAACAAAUGAGGCUUAUCAAAACAUAUACCAUCAGAAAAUCCAUAAUCGGCAACAACUGGCCAGCAAGUUCAAUGAGAAUUUAUCUUUUCCUCCAAAUUCAGCCUGCUUUACAAGCACAAGCACUACCAAACGUAACCAAAAUACAAGUACAUACAACACAUACAACCAUCAAAAUAUAGAUAUCCGCGCGAAGCGCGGACACACCACUAGUAUAUAAUAUA